rnacentral:misc_RNA from 1 species
AAAAGAAAUUAAGAAAAAGGCAAGAAAGGUUAUCUUCUCCGGUUCUCCCUCCCCUCCCUGUCCGGCUGUCCCCUCGCUGUACACAGGGUGUCUGUCUGUCACCGAGCAGCGGGCAGCCGGCAGGCAAUGCGAUGAUAGUAGCUGCUGCUGCCCCUGCGCCGCCAGUUCCAGCACCACCGGGCAAACCGCCCUUUCCUCUCUCCUCCUUCUCCCUCCGCCGCCGCUUGUGGUUCUCAAACGGCAACGCGCAUGGAAGAGACAGCGCCACCGCCGCCACGAGCAGCAGGGCGACGAGGAGGUGGUGGUGGUCCGACCCCGGCGGCAGCCGAGAAGACUACGGCUCCUCUUCUCUAGAGGAGGAGGAGGACGGUUACGAUUAGGCAGCGUUCCCCGGAUUUGGAGGGGCCGCGGCGGAGCUGUUCGACGAGCCCUGGUUCUCCAAGGAAGACACUCCACAAAGUAUACUUUUACUCAAGCAGACUUGCAAAAGUGGUUUGUUGAUGAUUGGGAUAAAAGAGCUCCUGUAAAAGCCUCUAUCGAUGGGUGCACCAAUGACUUUUUAAUGGUUGACCUUUCUACAAAGGACAUGCCAGCGACUAAAGCCGAUUCAAUAGAUGUUUUAUGUGAUUAUAUCAUGACAAUAGAAGACGAUACGACACUAGAGUUCUUAUGCCAUGGAAAUUUAACGGAUGUCACGCCCUUUUCGUUAUAGAUCAUGUUAAAAAGCAUGUGACUUUUAUCGACUUUACACCGACUCAAGAUUGGUGUAAACACAUGUCAUACAAGAGGUUCGCGGAAGCGAUUAUCAUGACCUCAAAGAAAUAUAAGAUUGCUUACAGCAAGAAAUGUUCUAGAUGGGCGGAGGAUAUCUUUAAGUGGGAACAUACAAUUCAGACUAGUGUUCCAAUUGACUUAAGAGGGUUUAAUACUAGCUACCUCGUUCUACAAGCUAUGACCAUGUGGGGGAAUGACAGACAAAUGAAAUUUGUUGGGAUGAAUGUAGUACGUUCGUUUUAUGUUCAAAUCAUACAUUCCAGCUACCUCGCUCUACAAGAUAAUACGUUUUGUUCUCUUAUGUCUUUGUCUGUAGAAUGCAAAGAUUCUUUGAAGGAACUUUGUGAUUGAUCUGUUAAGUUAUGAAGACAAUUCGUGCCGAUAUGCCAUCCCUGCAAACAUACAACUGAGACUUAUCGAUAUCGCUAAAAAGGAUUAGCUGAUUAGUGUAGGGUUGUCGACACAUUUGUUUGUAAUUAAAAAUUCUAAAUUAACUUUUUAGAAAUAAUUUGUGUAAUAUUGAUAAUAUUUUCC